GAAAUUUAACGGAUUUGGCGGCAAGAUAGCCCCUUAGAGGAACCUGCCCUGUAAACGAUGAACCACGAAUGACACAACUUUUCUUUGAAAUCAGUUUGUAUAUCGCUGUUGUCAGUUAGAUUCUUGAGAAUAUUUUCAUUUAUGAUAAAGUCAUUGACUUCAAGUAAAGGUGCAGCUUAUAGAAAAGGUAGAGGUGGGUUACAUUUAUGUGAAUAAAACGGAUAAGAUAAGAGAAAUAGUCUUUGAAGGUGGAUUUAACUGUAAAGCUUAAAGAAGCUUGGUGAGAGCUCUAUCUUGUGUACACACCGCCCGUC
rnacentral:rRNA from 1 species